rfam:Triticum aestivum genome assembly, contig: Triticum_aestivum_CS42_TGACv1_scaffold_407899_5BL
CAUCUACUCCCUCUGUCCAGAAAUACUCGUCGGAGAAAUGAAUGUAUCUAGACGUAUUUUAGUUUUACAUACAUUCAUUUUUAUCAAUUUCUUCGACAAGUAUUUUCAGACGGAGGGAGUACUUA